rnacentral:tRNA from 13 species
UCGUUCGCCGGCGGAUGUAGCCAAGUGGAUCAAGGCAGUGGAUUGUGGAUCCACCAUGCGCGGGUUCAAUUCCCG